rnacentral:rRNA from 1 species
GUUGAACGCUGGCGGCAUGCCUUACACAUGCAAGUCGAACGGCAGCACGGGAGCUUGCUCCUGGUGGCGAGUGGCGAACGGGUGAGUAAUGCAUCGGAACGUGCCCUGAAGUGGGGGAUAACGUAGCGAAAGUUACGCUAAUACCGCAUAUUCUGUGAGCAGGAAAGCAGGGGAUCUUCGGACCUUGCGCUUUUGGAGCGGCCGAUGUCGGAUUAGCUAGUUGGUGGGGUAAAGGCCCACCAAGGCGACGAUCCGUAGCGGGUCUGAGAGGAUGAUCCGCCACACUGGAACUGAGACACGGUCCAGACUCCUACGGGAGGCAGCAGUGGGGAAUUUUGGACAAUGGGCGCAAGCCUGAUCCAGCCAUGCCGCGUGAGUGAAGAAGGCCUUCGGGUUGGU